CAGCAGCCACGGUAAAACGAAGGGUGCAAGCGUUAAUCGGAAUUACUGGGCGUAAAGGGUGCGCAGGCGGUUUGUUAAGUCAGAUGUGAAAUCCCCGAGCUUAACUUGGGAACUGCAUUUGAAACUGGCAAGCUAGAGUCUUGUAGAGGGGGGUAGAAUUCCAGGUGUAGCGGUGAAAUGCGUAGAGAUCUGGAGGAAUACCGGUGGCGAAGGCGGCCCCCUGGACAAAGACUGACGCUCAGGUGCGAAAGCGUGGGGAGCAAACAGGACUAGAUACCCCUGUAGUCCCUGUCUCUUAUAC
rnacentral:rRNA from 1 species